CUUCGGCUAUUUUAAUCUUAAAUUUGAUGUGUGCAGUAAGUUGUGUUUGUUAGUGGAGCGUGCAGUGAGUGUCAGUGAGGGGAGUGGGCAUUAAGUAUGCAUCUGUUGAAAAUGUGUGUGAUGUGUGUCUGUGUAAAUUAGUGGGAGUGUACAGAGGAAUUUUAUGCGUGAGGGAGUUUGCAGUUAGUGCAGUGAAUCUGUGUGUUU